rnacentral:rRNA from 1 species
UCCAGACUCCUACGGGAGGCAGCAGUGGGGGAUAUUGCACAAUGGGGGGAACCCUGAUGCAGCGACGCCGCGUGGGUGAAGGAGCGUUUCGGCGCGUAAAGCCCUAUCGGCAGGGAAGAAGGAGGACGGUACCUGACUAAGAAGCCCCGGCUAACUACGUGCCAGCAGCCGCGGUAAUACGUAGGGGGCAAGCGUUAUCCGGAAUUACUGGGUGUAAAGGGUGAGUAGGCGGCAUGGUAAGCCAGAUGUGAAAGCCUUGGGCUUAACCCGAGGAUUGCAUUUGGAACUAUCAAGCUAGAGUACAGGAGAGGAAAGCGGAAUUCCUAGUGUAGCGGUGAAAUGCGUAGAUAUUAGGAGGAACACCGGCGGCGAAGGCGGCCUGCUGGACCGUAACUGACGUUGAGGCUCGAAAGCGUGGGGAGCAAACAGGAUUAGAUACCCCCGUAUAU